UUUGUUGCCAAACUCCUCCGAAACCACUUGACCGAUUUUCAUGAAAUUUGGCAGGUACACUCGACCGAACAUGGAGUAGGUUGUUAUCUAUAUUUCAUGUCCGUACGUCAUAAGGGGGCUUUGCCCCCCCCUAAUAUUUUUUUUUAUUUUUCGACAAACCGAUUUUUCUUAAUUCUAUAUGAUUCAGAAGCAAAAGAUACAUACAAUCCUAAAUUUUCACUUUUCUAUCUUUAACCGUUAUUUUUUUAAAAAAAUUUCGUGGUUUAACAUCUAUAUAUAUAAAAUUCUCUUUCGCAGGCUUUGUUGCCAAACUCCUCCGAAACCACUUGACCGAUUUUCAUGAAAUUUGGCAGGUACACUCGACCGAACAUGGAGUAGGUUGUUAUCUAUAUUUCAUGUCCGUACGUCAUAAGGGGGCUUUGCCCCCCCCUAAUAUUUUUUUUUAUUUUUCGACAAACCGAUUUUUCUUAAUUCUAUAUGAUUCAGAAGCAAAAGAUACAUACAAUCCUAAAUUUUCACUUUUCUAUCUUUAACCGUUAUUUUUUUAAAAAAAUUUCGUGGUUUAACAUCUAUAUAUAUAAAAUUCUCUUUCGCAGGCUUUGUUGCCAAACUCCUCCGAAACCACUUGACCGAUUUUCAUGAAAUUUGGCAGGUACACUCGACCGAACAUGGAGUAGGUUGUUAUCUAUAUUUCAUGUCCGUACGUCAUAAGGGGGCUUUGCCCCCCCCUAAUAUUUUUUUUUAUUUUUCGACAAACCGAUUUUUCUUAAUUCUAUAUGAUUCAGAAGCAAAAGAUACAUACAAUCCUAAAUUUUCACUUUUCUAUCUUUAACCGUUAUUUUUUUUUAAAAAUUUCGUGGUUUAACAUCUAUAUAUAUAAAAUUCUCUUUCGCAGGCUUUGUUGCCAAACUCCUCCGAAACCACUUGACCGAUUUUCAUGAAAUUUGGCAGGUACACUCGACCGAACAUGGAGUAGGUUGUUAUCUAUAUUUCAUGUCCGUACGUCAUAAGGGGGCUUUGCCCCCCCCUAAUAUUUUUUUUUAUUUUUCGACAAACCGAUUUUUCUUAAUUCUAUAUGAUUCAGAAGCAAAAGAUACAUACAAUCCUAAAUUUUCACUUUUCUAUCUUUAACCGUUAUUUUUUUAAAAAAAUUUCGUGGUUUAACAUCUAUAUAUAUAAAAUUCUAAUUCGCAGGCUUUGUUACCGUACUCCUCCGAAACCGCUUGACUGAUUUUCAUGAAAUUUGGCAGGUGGACUCGACCGGACAGGGAGUAGGUUGUUAUCUAUAUUUCAUAGCCGUACGUUAUAAGGGGGCUUUGCCCCCCCUAAUAUUUUUUUUUAUUUUUCGACAAACCGAUUUUUCUUAAUUGUAUAUGAUUCAGAAGCAAAAGAUACAUACAAUCCUAAAUUUUCACUUUUCUAUCUUUAACCGUUAUUUUUUUAAAAAAAUUUCGUGGUUUAACAUCUAUAUAUAUAAAAUUCUCUUUCGCAGGCUUUGUUGCCAAACUCCUCCGAAACCACUUGACCGAUUUUCAUGAAAUUUGGCAGGUACACUCGACCGAACAUGGAGUAGGUUGUUAUCUAUAUUUCAUGUCCGUACGUCAUAAGGGGGCUUUGCCCCCCCCUAAUAUUUUUUUUUAUUUUUCGACAAACCGAUUUUUCUUAAUUCUAUAUGAUUCAGAAGCAAAAGAUACAUACAAUCCUAAAUUUUCACUUUUCUAUCUUUAACCGUUAUUUUUUUAAAAAAAUUUCGUGGUUUAACAUCUAUAUAUAUAAAAUUCUCUUUCGCAGGCUUUGUUGCCAAACUCCUCCGAAACCACUUGACCGAUUUUCAUGAAAUUUGGCAGGUACACUCGACCGAACAUGGAGUAGGUUGUUAUCUAUAUUUCAUGUCCGUACGUCAUAAGGGGGCUUUGCCCCCCCCUAAUAUUUUUUUUUAUUUUUCGACAAACCGAUUUUUCUUAAUUCUAUAUGAUUCAGAAGCAAAAGAUACAUACAAUGCUAAAUUUUCACUUUUCUAUCUUUAACCGUUAUUUUUUUUUUAAAAUUUCGUUGUUUAACAUCUAUAUAUAUAAAAUUCUCUUUCGCAGGCUUUGUUGCCAAACUCCUCCGAAACCACUUGACCGAUUUUCAUGAAAUUUGGCAGGUACACUCGACCGAACAUGGAGUAGGUUGUUAUCUAUAUUUCAUGUCCGUACGUCAUAAGGGGGCUUUGCCCCCCCCUAAUAUUUUUUUUUAUUUUUCGACAAACCGAUUUUUCUUAAUUCUAUAUGAUUCAGAAGCAAAAGAUACAUACAAUCCUAAAUUUUCACUUUUCUAUCUUUAACCGUUAUUUUUUUAAAAAAAUUUCGUGGUUUAACAUCUAUAUAUAUAAAAUUCUCUUUCGCAGGCUUUGUUGCCAAACUCCUCCGAAACCACUUGACCGAUUUUCAUGAAAUUUGGCAGGUACACUCGACCGAACAUGGAGUAGGUUGUUAUCUAUAUUUCAUGUCCGUACGUCAUAAGGGGGCUUUGCCCCCCCCUAAUAUUUUUUUUUAUUUUUCGACAAACCGAUUUUUCUUAAUUCUAUAUGAUUCAGAAGC